AACGCACAUUGCGCCCCCUGGUAUUCCGGGGGGCAUGCCUGUUCGAGCGUCAUUUCACCACUCAAGCCUCGCUUGGUAUUGGGCGACGCGGUCCGCCGCGCGCCUCAAAUCGACCGGCUGGGUCUUCUGUCCCCUCAGCGUUGUGGAAACUAUUCGCUAAAGGGUGCCACGGGAGGCUACGCCGUUAAACAAGCCCAUUUCUAAGGUUGACCUCGGAUCAGGUAGGGAUACCCGCUGAACUUAA
rnacentral:misc_RNA from 1 species